CAAGAACACUUUUGAGAACAUGCAAAUAGACAGCAGUUGAAACUUAUUCAUCAGAAGGACUCAAGGUGACGUUAGGAGCCUCGGCAUCCUGGCUCAAGGUGACGUUAGGAGCCUCGGCAUCCUGGCUCAAGGUGACGUUAGGA